rnacentral:rRNA from 1 species
CGUGUAGGCGGAUGCGCAAGUCUGGUGUGAAAUCCCUCGGCUCAACUGAGGAACGCCAUUGGAUACUGCGUGUCUUGAGUGCAGGAGGGGAGAGCGGAACUCUUGGUGGAGCGGUGAAAUGCGUAGAUAUCAAGAGGAACGCCGGCGGCGAAAGCGGCUCUCUGGCCUGUUACUGACGCUGAGGCGCGAAAGCCAGGGGAGCGAACG